CCCAUGAAAAUGCCUUGUAGUUUGUGCUUACUAUAUUAUCCACUGUGUUUGUUCACUCACAUAUCAUGGUAGUUUUGUUUUUCUUAAUUAUUCUUGUUUUGGUAUUCUGACAAAAUGUUUUCCUUCAUGUCAUCUUGUAUUUUUUUUCUGCCAUUUAUGAUGUAAUUACAAAGUAUAGGAAUGGUACCACAAUAAUUUCCCCAUAUUAUUCUUUCUUCUUGUAAAGGUAACUAACUCUAAAUACUAUUCUUCAGCAUGCAGCCACCUUCUAUUUUUAUAGUCUACAAAUUAGGUGUUGGAGAAAUCUGCAUAUCCCUAACUCUAACGAUUGUUGCUGAUAUCUUGCUUAUGGAUACUCAAUCCUGGUUUCUUUUCUUGAGGGUAUGUAGAUAUGAUUGCCAAUCCUGAGGUAGCUGAUGUAUUUAGGAAAAGAGCUAAGAUAAUAUCAGAAAUACGGAAGACAGUAGAAUCUGCUGGUUUUAUUGAAGUUGAAACUCCAGUUCUGCAGGGCGCAGCUGGUGGUGCUGAAGCUAGGCCUUUCAUUACAUACCAUAACUCUCUUGGGCAAGAUAUGUAUCUACGAAUCGCAACUGAGCUCCAUUUAAAGAGAAUGCUGGUGAGGUUGGUGGAUUUGAAAAAGUAUAUGAAAUAGGAAGGAUUUUCCGGAAUGAAGGCCUUUCAACUCGUCAUAAUCCUGAAUUCACCACCAUUUGAGUACUUUCAUGAGGAAGAAGGAUUUCAGGAAAGAGCAACUAGUUCUUGAGGACUUAGUGCUAGAAUACGUAGUAUGAUAGAUUUUUGUUUUAGCUAUAAGGUAGUUGGUAUUUUCAAUUUUGAAUCGGAAUAUGCAAUGAUGAUGUAUACUUGAUAUUUGGUUCAUUUGUAUAAUAAUGUAUGAAUUUUUU